rnacentral:rRNA from 1 species
GAUCUUGCGACAAUGGGCGAAAGCCUGACGCAGCAACGCCGCGUGCGGGAGGACGGCCUUCGGGUUGUAAACCGCUUUUCGGGGGGACGAGGAAGGACGGUACCCACGGAAGAAUCCCCGGCUAACUACGUUCCAGCAGCCGCGGUAAUACGUAGGGGGCAAGCGUUAUCCGGAUUUACUGGGUGUAAAGGGAGCGUAGGUGGUUCGGUAAGUCAGAUGUGAAAGCCCGGGGCUCAACCCCGGGACUGCAUUUGAAACUAUCGAACUAGAGUGUAGGAGAGGUAAGUGGAAUUCCUAGUGUAGCGGUGAAAUGCGUAGAUAUUAGGAGGAACACCAGUGGCGAAGGCGGCUUUCUGGACUGUAACUGACACUGAGGCACGAAAGCGUGGGGAGCAAACAGG